rnacentral:rRNA from 1 species
UACAGAGGGGGCGAGCGUUAUUCGGAAUUAUUGGGCGUAAAGGGCGCGUAGGCGGCUUGACAAGUCCCGGGUGAAAUCCCUCGGCUCAACCGAGGAACUGCCUUGGAAACUGUCUGGCUUGAGGCCGGGAGAGGGUAGUGGAAUUCCCAGUGUAGCGGUGAAAUGCGUAGAUACUGGGAGGAACACCGGUGGCGAAGGCGGCUACCUGGACCGGUUCUGACGCUGAGGCGCGAAAGCGUGGGUAGCAAACAGG